GAUGAACGCUGGCGGCGUGCCUAAUACAUGCAAGUCGAGCGAACAGAUAAGGAGCUUGCUCCUUUGACGUUAGCGGCGGACGGGUGAGUAACACGUGGAUAACCUACCUAUAAGACUGGGAUAACUUCGGGAAACCGGGGCUAAUGCCGGAUAAUAUUUAGAACCGCAUGGUUCUAAAGUGAAAGAUGGUUUUGCUAUCACUUAUAGAUGGAUCCGCGCCGCAUUAGCUAGUUGGUAAAGUAACGGCUUACCCAGGCAACGAUGGGUAGCCGGCCUGAGAGGGGGAAUGGGCAAACUGGAAACGAGAAACGGGCCCAACUCCCAAGGGAAGCCACAGUAGGGAAUUCUCCCGCAUGGGGGAAAGGCCUGACGAACAAAGGCGGGUGAAGUAUGAAGGGUCUCCGAUUCGAAAACUCUGUUAUUAGGGAAAAAAAAAUGUUUAAAGAAAUGAGGCACUUCUGAAGGUAACUAAACCAAAAGCCAACGCUAACUAACGG
rnacentral:rRNA from 1 species